AGGAUGAACGCUGGCGGUCUGCUUAACACAUGCAAGUCGAACGGAGUACCUCGGUACUUAGUGGCGGACGGGUGAGUAACGCGUGAGAAUCUGCCCUUAGGUCGGGGACAACCAUUGGAAACGAUGGCUAAAUACCGGAUAAGCCGAGAGGUAAAAGAUUAAUUGCCUAGGGAAGAGCUCGCGUCUGAUUAGCUAGUUGGUGAGGUAAAGGCUCACCAAGGCAUCGAUCAGUAGCUGGUCUGAGAGGAUGAUCAGCCACACUGGGACUGAGACACGGCCCAGACUCCUACGGGGGGCAGCAGUGAGGAAUUUUCGUCAAUGGGGGCAACCCUGAACGAGCAACGCCGCGUGCAGGAAGAAGGUUUUCGGAUCGUAAACUGCUUUUCGUCGGGGAAGAGAACGGACGGUACCGAGGAAUCAGCCCCGGCUAACUACGUGCCAGCAGCCGC
rnacentral:rRNA from 1 species